CAAUAGCGUAUAUUAAAGUUGUUGCGGUUAAAAAGCUCGUAGUUGGAUUUCUGCCGAGGACGACCGGUCCGCCCUCUGGGUGUGUAUCUGGUUUGGCCUGGGCAUCUUCUUGGAGAACGUAGCUGCACUUGACUGUGUGGUGCGGUGUCCAGGACUUUUACUUUGAGGAAAUUAGAGUGUUCAAAGCAGGCCUACGCUCUGAAUACAUUAGCAUGGAAUAACACGAUAGGACUCUGGCCUAUCUUGUUGGUCUGUAGGACCGGAGUAAUGAUUAAGAGGGACAGUCGGGGGCAUUCGUAUUUCAUUGUCAGAGGUGAAAUUCUUGGAUUUAUGAAAGACGAACUACUGCGAAAGCAUUUGCCAAGGAUGUUUUCAUUAA
rnacentral:rRNA from 1 species